GUGCAUUCCUGACCGGCACCUGGCGAGGCUCAUGCGUCCCGUGAGGGCGGUUCCUCGAGCCUGGGGGCGCUCAGAUUGCUUUGGAGACGCUGAGAGAACCUUUGCGAGAGCGCCGGUUGACGUGCGGAGUGCGGGGCUCCGGGGGACUGAGCAGCACGAGACCCCAUCCUCCCCUCCGGGUUUUCACACUGGGCGAAGGGAGGACUCCUGAGCUCUGCCUCUUCCAGUAACAUUGAGGAUUACUGUGUUUUGUGAGAGCUCGCUAGGCGCCCUAAGCAACAGAGUUCUGAGAAAUCGAGAAACAUGAUAAGGAAUUGGCUGACUAUUUUUAUCCUUUUUCCCCUGAAGCUCGUAGAGAAAUGUGAGUCAAGCGUCAGCCUCACUGUUCCUCCUGUCGUAAAGCUGGAGAACGGCAGCUCGACCAACGUCAGCCUCACCCUGCGGUUGUGGUGCCUCCUGGAGUGACAAACUCCUCUUUUCAAGUGACAUCUCAAAAUGUUGGACAACUUACUGUUUAUCUACAUGGAAAUCACUCCAAUCAGACCGGCCCGAGGAUACGCUUUCUUGUGAUCCGCAGCAGCGCCAUUAGC
rnacentral:lncRNA from 1 species